AGGCUUCUGACUGCUUAUUGCACCACAUGUGUUUUUCUUUGAAACAAACUUGCUUUGGCGGUGGGCCCAGCCUGCCGCCAGAGGUCUAAACUUACAACCAAUUUUUUAUCAACUUGUCACACCAGAUUAUUACUUAAUAGUCAAAACUUUCAACAACGGAUCUCUUGGUUCUCGCAUCGAUGAAGAACGCAGCGAAAUGCGAUACGUAAUAUGAAUUGCAGAUAUUCGUGAAUCAUCGAAUCUUUGAACGCACAUUGCGCCCUCUGGUAUUCCGGAGGGCAUGCCUGUUUGAGCGUCGUUUCUCCCUCAAACCGCUGGGUUUGGUGUUGAGCAAUACGACUUGGGUUUGCUUGAAAGACGGUAGUGGUAAGGCGGGAUCGCUUUGACAAUGGCUUAGGUCUAACCAAAAACAUUGCUUGCGGCGGUAACGUCUACCACGUAUAUCUUCAAACUUUGACCUCAAAUCAGGUAGGACUACCCGCUGAACUUAAGCAUAUCAAAAGCCGGGAGGAA
rnacentral:rRNA from 1 species